ensembl:snRNA U6 U6 spliceosomal RNA
UUGUUCCCUUCAGCAGCACAUACACUAAGAUUGGAACGAUAAAGAGAAGAUUAGCACGGCCCCUGCACAAAGGUGACACUCAAUUUCAGCUUUUUCAUUUUUAU